rnacentral:lncRNA from 1 species
CUUUUUAAUUUUAAUUUUAAUUUUUUUUUUCUGCACUUAGAUGUUAUUUUUUAAAAAUUUUAAACAAUGUUUUUGCUUAGGGGAAUCUUUUUAUUAUUAUUAUUCUUGAUGUUUUAAUCCAUAUUUGUAAGAGAUUAUAGGCCUUUUAAUGACUAACUUUUUUUCAAAUUUCCAACACUACUAGUGUAUCAAUGUUUGCAUGUGUUU